rnacentral:rRNA from 1 species
GGGUGCGAUCAUACCAGCACUAAAGCACCAGAUCCCAUCAGAACUCCGCAGUUAAGCGUGCUUGGGCGAGAGUAGUACUAGGAUGGGUGACCUCCUGGGAAGUCCUCGUGUUGCACCCCCCACCCCC